UACAGAGGGUGCGAGCGUUAAUCGGAAUUACUGUGCGUAAAGCGUGCGCAGACGGUUGCGUAAGUCAGAUGUGAAAGCCCCGGGCUCAACCUGGGAAUUGCAUUUGAGACUGCGUAGCUAGGGUGCGGAAGAGGGAAGCGGAAUUUCCGGUGUAGCGGUGAAAUGCGUAGAUAUUCGGAAGAACACCAGUGGCGAAGGCGACUUACUGGACACAUAUUGACGCUGAGGUGCGAAAGCGUGGGGAGCAAACAGG
rnacentral:rRNA from 1 species